GUUAGGAGGCUUUACGUCCAGGCUGUUUCAUGAAAACCUGCUCCGCGCAGAGCUAGGAUGCAGAGACGCUGAAGGACUGGAGAAUCCAGAAGACAGAACCUGCCCACGGACCUAAAUCUUUAUUCCAUCCAACUACUGAUCUCCAGAUGACCUCAAGAAAACUAUUCUCCUUUCUGCUCUGACAAAUGCAAGUCAUCUUGAAAAGCUCUAGACAAGGCAGGGUUGGUGAGAUUUGCCCAGAGGCCAUUGUGCAGGCCAUGAAUCAGGAGAUGAACCAUAGAAGGUGGUGAGCAGCAUACUCUGAGCAUCUCUCAGAGGGUGAAUGUUCUCAGCCCUUGGAGCAGAUUGAGAUGGGUGAUGAAUAAAAG